GAUGAACGCUGGCGGCGUGCCUAAUACAUGUAAGUCGAACGGAGUAUAUAGCAAUAUGUACUUAGUGGCGAACGGGUGAGUAACGCGUUGGUGACCUGCCCCGAAGAGGGGGAUAACAGUUCGAAAGGACUGCUAAUACCCCAUGUGGUCAUAGAGGUUAGAGGCUUUAUGACUGAAGGAGAAAUUCGCUUCGGGAGGGGCCUGCGUCCCAUCAGCUAGUUGGUAGGGUAAAGGCCUACCAAGGCGAAGACGGGUAGGGGGCCUGAGAGGGUGGCCCCCCACAAUGGAACUGAAACACGGUCCAUACACCUACGGGAGGCUG
rnacentral:rRNA from 1 species